UUUGUUAGGGUUUUAUGUAUUGAUAAUUUUUUUGUUUAUGACUUUUCUCAUUUAAUUUACUUUAGACUUAUUGGUUUGUUUGCGGAAAUGAAAUAUUGAAACAAAAAUUGGUUCUUUUUCAACAUUUGUUGGUGAAUCUGCUAUUAUAGAAAUGAGGCAGUAAGUGUAUUAAAAUUAGUUUAGUUAAUAAAAAUUUGUUCUUGUUCGACAUUUAACCAGUAAGUCAGUUAAUGUUGGCAAUCGAAUCUGCUAUUAUUUUGUAAGUGUAUUCAGAUUUCUGCUGCUUGAAAUUUCAUAUCAAGUGUUGGUUCAUGGUUUUAGUUUCUGUGCUUUAUGAUGGUUUUAAUUUAUGUGCUUUAUGAUGUUUAAUGUUCUGGAUUUUUGUUUUUAGGUUUUAUUGUGAUGAAGAGAGAGAUAAUUUUUUGUUUGAAUUUCCCUUUAAAUUCUUCAUUAUUUUAGAUUGUAUGACAUCUUUAAUGUUGGUUGGGAUUUCAAAUUGUGUUUUUUUUUUUUUGUUUUUUUGUUUUUAUUAAAAAUGCACUAUGGAAUCAUGCAUGUACACAUAAUCGUGAGUUUUGUUGCUAAUUGGUUCUUGAGUUAUGUUUUUUGUCAAUUUAAUUAUUAGAAGAUGAGGGGAAAGGUGUAGGAAGAGGGGCAGGGGCAGGAUGGGAUUAAUAAUUUUAGUUGUUGUUGUGUAGAAAAUAUUAAAUGGAUCGAAGUUGGAUAACAACAACUAAGCCAGGUGACCCAAAAUAUCAAGCAGGUGUAAGAGAAUUUGUUAAGUUUGCAGUUAAGAAUAGUGGAGGCCGCCAUAAGCUACCAUGCCCUUAUCACAUGUGCCAUAAUUUCUUGUAUAAGAGACCCGAAGAGAUACUUAAUCACUUGGAGAAAUGGGAAUUUGAUAAAACAUAUACAUGUUGGAUUUGGCAUGAAGAAUGUAGAGAUGGAGCUUCGGUGAGUAACUUUUCAGAUAAUGCUAAUGAAGGUCAACAUACAAAUGAGGGAGAUAGAUUAGAGGAAAUGCUCCAUGUAGUACAGGAGAAUUUUGAUGAAGAUCCCAAUAAAUUUGAGAGCUUAUUAAGUGACUCUGAAAAGCCUUUGUAUGAAAGUUGCACUAAAUACACAAGGUUGUGUGCCAUACUUAAGUUGUAUAACUUGAAGGAGGGUCAUGGUUUAAGUGAUCAAAGCUUUAAUAUGAUCCUAGAAUUGGUAAAAGACAUGCUUCCAGAUGAUAAUGUCCUUCCAAGUUGUACAUAUGAGGCAAAAAAGACACUAAGUGUCAUGGGUUUACCUUAUGAGAGAAUUCAUGCUUGCCCUAACGAUUGCAUGUUGUAUUAAAACGAGAAUGAAUCGUUAGAAAGAUGCACAAUUUGUAAUGCCUCGCGAUACAAAAAGAUUGAAGGAUGAGUGCCUGCGAAGGUAUUAUGGUACUUUCCAAUAAUACCUAGGUUUAAAAGGCUAUUUUCUAAUGACGGAGAUGCUGAAUAGUUAACAUGGCAUGUCUAUGAUCGAGAGGAUGAUGGAAUGCUUAGACAUCCUGCUGAUUCCCAACAAUGGAGGUUUAUUGAUGGAGAAUUUCCAGAAUUUUCCAAAGAAAAGCGUAAUUUACGCCUUGCUUUGUCUACAGAUGGCUUCAAUUCAUUUGGAUCAUUGAGUAGCACAUAUAGUACAUGGCAUGUUAUUUUGAUUACCUACAACUUACCUCCUACACUUUGCAUGAAAAGAAGGUAUAUGAUGUUAUCACUGCUAAUUUCUUGUCCAAGGCAGCCUGGUAAUGAUAUUGAUGUGUAUCUGGCUCCACUAAUUGAUGAUUUAAAGUUGUUGUGGGAAACAGGUGUAGAGGUGUUCGAUGCACAUCGUAACGAGAAUUUCAAUUUGAAAGCAUUGUUGUUUUGUACUAUUCAAGAUUUUCCAGCAUAUGGUAAUCUAUCAGGAUACACAGUUUACGGGAAAACUGCUUGUCCUGUAGGGUUUUCCAGGAAGGUGGUUGAGUGCAUUUAAGAAGAAUGUUUUUUAUGGGAAUCGUAUAUUUUUUGCCAUGUACUCAUCACUAUCGCAACUUGAAAAAGGCCUUCAAUGGACAUCAAGAGUUUAGGGUGCGCCCUAAGAUACUAUCUGGAGUAGAGGUGUUUGAAAAGAUCAAAGAUCUCAAGAUCACAUAUGGUAAGAAGCAUAAAAAACCUCUUCCUCAGCAAGGAUUCAAAAAGUGUUCAAUAAUGUGGAGUUUACCAUAGUGGAAAUUCCUUUUUGUGAGACAUACGCUUGAUGUGAUGCAUAUUGAGAAAAAUGUGUGUAAUAGUGUUAUUGGUACACUAUUGAAUAUUAGUAGAAAGACCAAAGAUGGGGAGAAAGAUAGAGAUGACUUAAAGGAAAUGGGGAGAUGACUUAAAGGAAAUGGUUGAGAAUGGUCGAAAGUACUUGCCACCGGCUGCUUAUACACUCUCUAGAAAAGAGAAAAUCGAGUUAUAUCAGAGCUUGGCCGGAGUGAAAGUGCCGGAAGGUUAUUCUUCUAACAUUUGCAACCUGGUAAACAUGGAAAGUUUGAAACUUAUGGGCCUUAAGUCUCAUGAUUGUCAUGUUUUGAUGCAAAAUUUGUUGCCCGUAUCUAUUCGUUCAAUAUUGCCUAAAAAUGUUCGAUAUGCCAUUACUAGACUUUGUUUGUUUUUUAAUGCAGUCUAUAUAGUAAAGUCAUUGAUCCCGAACAUUUGAGUGCUUUGGAGGAAGAAAUUGUUAUAAUUUUAUGUCAAUUAGAGAUGUACUUUCCUCCAUCUUUUUUUGAUAUCAUGGUUCAUUUGACGGUUCACUUUGUAAGAGAGAUAAGAUUUUGUGGUCCAAUAUAUUUGAGAGUUCAAUGGGCUUUUGAAAGGCAAAUGAGAAAAUAUCAAGGGUAUGUGAAGAAUGCUUAUCAACCUGAAGGUUGUAUUGCUGAGCAACUUUUCUAUGACGAAGUACUACAAUAUGCUGGUGAUUUUAUGAUAAAUUCAAUGAGAAUAAGGAUUCCUACAUCCCGUCAUAGUGGACGAAUGGAUGGUGUGGGAACCUUAGGUCGUAAGCAACGUGAUAUGUCUUGUGACAACUGGCACAAGGCACACUCAUACAUUCUGCAUAAUGAGGAUGAAGUUGCACCCUAUGUUGAAAGACAUAUGAGACACUUGAGAAAGUACAAUCAAAGAGCAUGCGAAAAGGCAUUAGCUGACAAUCAUAGCAAAUCAUUCAUUUCUUGGUUCAAAGAUGAAGCAAUGAGGGAACUCGAUGACUCUUCAAUAGUAAUCUCAGAUUGAGUCAAGAGUUUAGCAUAUGGACCUGACUUUAGUGCAACAUACUAUUCAGGAUAUGUUAUAAAUAGUUGCACUUUUUACACAAAGUUCCAAGAUGAACACAACAUUAUGCAAAACAGUAGGGUCACUUUAGAGGCUCAAGCUAUUCACUUUUCUAGUGCAAAAGAUAAGAAUCCCGUGUGUGGUACUAUGAGAUACUAUGUAGUCAUUGAAGAGAUUUGUGAGUUGCAUUACACCAUGUUUUCGAUUCCUCUUUUCAAAUGCCAAUGGGUUGACAACAUUAACGGUGUUGAAGAAAGUAACAUGGGACUUAUUUUGGUCAAUCUUAACAAGGUUGGUCACAAAGAGGAUCCUUUUAUUUUAUCUACCCAAGCAAAAUAAAUUUUUUAUAUGACUGACCCCUUAGAUAAGCGAGGGUCAGUUAUCAUAACACCAAGGCCUCGACACUCCACUGAUGAUUGUACUUUUUAUAGUGUGUCGGAGUCUCCUUCUUUGACAAGAAAAGUAGUGGACGAUAAUGUUGAUGACUCUUCAAUAUAUGUGAGAGAUGAUCAUAAUGAGGCUACAUGGGUUGAAGAUACAAAGAAGCGAAAAAAUGUCAAGCGAAAGCGAUCUCGUAACAAAUGUAAUUUUUUUUUUUUUUAUAAAGUACUAACUUUUUUUUAUUAUUAUUGGUUUUUCCUUAGGAUGUCCUACUUAAAAUUUUGGUUUUGUUAUUACAAUUAUUUUUGCAUUUAACUAACCAAUUAAAUUUAUUUUUCUGAUUUUUUUAUAAGUUGAUGGCUAGAAAGAGAAAACGUGUACGCCCAUCCAAUGAAGGUGACACACUACAUCCGAAGGAUUCUGAGAAAAUAAGGCGUAAGGAUGAGAGGGGUCGUACUGUACUUGCUAUGGUGGGGAAGGCGAUCCAAGCAGGCACCAAGAUUCGUUUAGAAUGGCAUCCUAUUAAAAGAAUUCCAGUAGGAGAGCACAAGUCUCAUUUCUCCACCUACAUUGGUGUUGUUGCCCGUGAAAGAGUAACGAUUACUUAUAAGGAGUGGUCUGACCUUCCAAAUGGAGUCUUAGACGAAUUCUACAAUGAUAUCACAAAGGGAUUUUAUGUCAUCAAGAAUCGCAGAAAUUGGAUACUGACACAAGCUUCUAAGCGAUGGAAAGCUUUCAAGACUAGGCUAAGACUUGAAUGGAUGUAUCUAAAAGAUGGAGCUGUCAGACAACAACCCCCAUGGAAAUACCUUUAAUAAAAGAUACAGAUUGGAAGAUCUUCGUUAAAUAUUGUACUUCAAAGGAGUUUCAGGAAUUGAGUGAAAAAAAUCGUGUGAGGGCAAAGAAGAAGACCUUAAAGUAUCGAGGAGGCCAACUUUGGUAUCAAUAUUUUGAAGAAUGAAUAGAAAAAGAACUUGAAAAACAGGGAGUCCAUGUGUCACAAGUGCCUCGACACUUGACUUGGAUCAAAGCUCACUCUCAGGUCAAAGAUGGAAUCAUUUUUUUUGAUAAUCUAGUGGAUAGGGAUAUCCAUGAAGCUAUAUGGAGGCUCAAGCUCAAAGAGGAGAAUUCGUGUGCAAUGGUCGGGAUGACAUAUUAGCAAGAGCAUUGAAUACGCGUGAGCUUGGUGGUUCAGUGAGGGCAGUUGGAUCAGGUAUCACAAAUAAGGAAUAUUUUUGCUUUAACAAACCAACUGCACCAAGCCAAUUGUAUGCAAAAAUCGGCAUGAUGCAAUCAGAGAUGGGAACUAUGAAAAAUAAUCAGAAUUUAUUAUUGUCUUUCAUCAUGUCAUGCUUAAAUCAGGAGCAAUUGAAAUCGUUCAUGGCCAUCUUUGGUCAAUCAAAUGCUUUUGGUCAAUUUGGCAGUUUGGGUGGACUGGUUGGCCUAUUUGGCAAAGGUGGUAGUCAGCCUGCUACUGGUGGUCAGUCUAGUUCUGGUGGUCAGUCUUGUCAUGAUCAACAGGUUGGUUCUUCUGGUCAGACUAGUUUUGGUGGUCAGAGUGGUUUUGGUUUUGGUGGUCAAGCUGAAUUCGGUGGUUUUGAUGGUCUUGAUGGUAAUAGGUUAGGUUUUACCCAAUUAAAUAAUUUUGUUGACCAUGGAAUGCUUAACAUUCCACUUACACAACAGCUAACUAGAGGGGUUGAGCGACAACAAAGUGAAGGUCAUCAAUUGUUGGAGUCUCAAUUUCAGGAUGCUGCUAAUGUUUCACGUGGUCAUGAGGCUCACAUAAGUCCUCCCGUGCAACACGAUCAUCUUCAAAGCUCUGAGGCUGAGAUGUACCAUGUUUCUUGGCCUCCAACAGAGCAAAUUAAUCAACCUGACCAUGCACUUUUGAAUAUUCAUGAUGAUAUCUCAAUUUAUCUUGGCCUCAAAUAAAGCAAUAUCACUUUUCCUGAGGGCUGGAGUGAUUGUCAACUGGCCAUUGAGGACGGCGAUAAAGGACAUGUAAUUGGUUCUAAAGGGAAAGUUUAUCAAGAGAAGGCAGAAGAAAUCAUCAAAAAUCAUGUCUGAUCGCUACCCCCUGGUCACCGCCAAGUCUCUAUUGUAGAAGAUUUUGUGCCGAAUGCUCCCUUGCCAUGUCCAAAUGAAGAAUUAAUCUUUGUUUGCCAAGCUAAGAAGAGUUACACUUCUUAGCCAGUUCACUUGAUUCUUCCAGUUAAGGAUGAUGUGCACCUGGAAAAAGACGUGACUACUCCAUCCCCAAGAUCGGCAUCAUCCCAAACAUCAACCACUGGCAUGCAUCUUUUCGGAGCUGAAGAUUGUGAAAAAGUGACUACUAAUUGGUUACAGUCGUUAAAAACUCAUGCUUUGGGAAUGAAAAAGAGUAGUGAAUCCAUCUCCUUAAGUUUCUAGAAAACUGUAUUUCUGACUGAACAUGUGGUUAAUGUUAUUCUUGACUACAAAGAUUUGCUUAAUUGGUGUUUCCCAAAAGAGAUCGGAGCGGCUCACUUGAAUAUUUUCAUGAAGUACUUAAAAGAGCAAUGUCAAGAAGAAGGAAUUUCGGGUAUGUUUGGAUUUUGCGAUUCCAAUGUUCUAUCCCCAAUGAAUCCAACAAUAGAAGAGGAAAACCCGUCUACAUACUUAGCUCGUGUGUUUGGGUGCAAUGAGGGAAAGGAUCGUAAUCAAUUAUUCUUUGCACCUUAUAAUGAAAAUCGGAAUUGGAUGUUAGUUGUGAUUAGCCCUUGGAAUGGGAUAUCUAUUGGUUGGACCCAGGUGGAGCAGACAGCAUACCUGAGUUUGCUAAAAUAGUCAUCAAAGAGGGAAUCAAACAAUUUAGCGCUGUCCAUCGCAAGGAUAUCAAGAAAAUAAAAAAGGAUGCAUAUAUUGGGUGGAAGCAACCAAAGUGUCCUAGCCAUCCUAAACACAAGAAGAACUAUGGAUACUUUUUGUGCCGGUACAUGCUCGAGAUUUUAGAAAAAAGGGUGUUAUGGAUUACUGACAAGGGCAGCAGCCGCCUAGCCUUGGCAGGGCAGCAGCAACCGCCUAGCCUUGGCAGGGCAGCAGCAGCCGCCUUGCCUUGGCAGGGCAGCAGCAGCCGCCUUGCCAUGGCAGGGCAGCAGCAUGUCACGGGUCACUCCCACACCAAGGAUGGGCGUCAAGAGGGUCACUAGGCAGCAAGGCAACAAUCGGGGCUAGGGGGCUUGCCUUGGUGCUCAGGUAAGCACUUCCCCCUAAAGAGCUUUAUAUUGCACCUUGCUUAAAAUCCUAGUGAAUACCCACUUGACAGUAACACAAUAAUGGGUCGUUUGGAGACCCAAAUGAAGUCCAAAUGGGCCCAAAUUUGGGGGUCCACCGUAUUUUGGGCCAAGGAAGACGAUGGUGGUGUCAGUUUUCCGAGACAAGGUCCCGAAAUACAAGUUUGUGCAGCAGGUAGCCCGGGAAACGUGGGAAGCUUCUAGAAGGUUCCGGAGCUAUCUACGGAGUUCUUUUGGAGGAGUAUUCUAGAGAGGAUGUCUCUAGAAUAUUCAAGGUUCAUCCAGUGCAUCUUAGAAGUCUCUAGGGCCUUCUAUGUAUGUACAUUUUGAAUGUAAAGUUCUAGAAUGUUCUAGGUUAGUCCUUAGCAUUCUAGGUAGGAAGCUUGUAGAAACCUCCAUGUAUGUAGUUCCUAAGGAGGUGGGAAAACUCUAGAUCCUUGUAGUCUAGAACCCUCCAUUUGAGGAGGUUAGGAACAUUCUAGAGAAAGAGAGUAAGUAGGGUGGAGCACUAUAAAUAGGCUCCAAGGCAUCAUUUGUACAUUCAAGUUGAGAGCAAUACAAAAAGCCUUUCUUAAGCACUUGUGUUCUCUUGCAACUCAAUCCUUUCCUUCCAACACUUAGAGAGUGUGAGGAAAACUAAGGCACGAGGGUGCCAAGUGAGUGAUCGGGCAUACGAGCAAGGGUGAUAGCUUGGGUGCUCAAUUGUCUACGACACUUAGUCGUAAAUUCGGACUAAGGCACUAAGGGUGAGUGCUUAGUUCAACCAAAGGGGACUUGUUAGCGCAAAGGGAUCGUGCUAGCAAACUUAUACUAGCAGCACAAGGAGUUGUGCUACGUGGGCACAAGGAGUAAGUGCCAAGGAGAAAGCCUGACUCGUCUUACGACGGACUGUAAGCGGGUGGCGCACGGUGCGUGACUAGGGCAAAGUAGUCGGCACGUGACAAGCAGCCGCCUUGCCUUGGCAGGGCAGCAGCAGCAUCACGAAAUGUGAUAUUAUACUAAUGUGAUAUUGACAAGAAAUGUGAUAUUGUACUAAUGCAAUCGCAUCACGAAAGUGUGUGUUAUGCUUUGGAAAUGUUCAUUGUCACCCAAUACUAAACCCCAAGUGGUAAUGAAAAUUUACAAAGAAAAAAGAUUAUUUGGAGUGAAAUUAUGUUGUAAUUGUAUUGACGUUAAUAUAUGCUCAUUAUCACUAUUUACUACCACUUACGGAAUGGGAAUUGUGUCAUGAUAUAGAUCAUUUGAGUUGUUUUAGUUUUUGGGGAAGUGUGGGGACUGUGGAACUAAGUUAAAAUUCUAUCAAUGUAGAAAAAUAUGUUGGAAAAGUGUUAUCCUCGUAGAAUUUUGCAUAGUUUAUUGCCAUAUUGGGUAAUUUAUUUCCUUCAUUCAAACAGGACGUUGAGUAAAAAAUUGUGAUUAAUUUAGAAUGUGAGGCAGGGCAACCUUGCCUUGCCUUGGCAGGGUAGGGCAGCAGCCUUGGCAGGGCAGCUGCACCCUUGCCUUGGCAGGGCGGCAGCCUUGCCUUGCCAUGCCUUGGCAGGGCGGCAGCCUUGCCUUGCCAUGCCUUGGCAGGGCAGUAGCUACAGCCUUGCCUUGGCAGGCAGGGCACCUGCUGCCUUGCCCGGCAGCGCACCAGCUGCACCAACACCCCCUACGCACACUCCCCUACCCUGCACACCCCCUGCCCUGAAAACACCGCCUGUCCUGACUUGCCCUUGCCUGAAAUCAGUCCUGAAAUACAGAUCUAAAUUCAGUUCAAAAUUUAGUUUUGAAAUUCAGUUCUGAAUUUAGUUCUGAAAUUAAGUUCUGAAAAUAAGUUCUGAAAUUCAAUUUUGGUUUCGUUUUGAAAUUCAGUUUUGAUCUUUGGUUCACAUAUUCAAUUUAGUUCUGAAAUUCAGUUUUGAGCUUUGGAUCUGAAAUUCAGUUUUGAGCUUUGGUUCACUACUUCCAUGAACCUAUUUAAUUCUUUUU